ensembl:lncRNA
CGACAUUUUUCCAAGUCAAUACCUAUGGAUCUAACUCAUUUAAACAACAGCAAUAAACCAAAAAGCAAAGUGAUAGUCUUGUGUUAUGUGAAUGCACUGAAAAUUUACUUAACUGGUCCCUUGCCGUGUUUUCUACAUUCUGUUAUUAUGUAAUGCUGAUACCAACGUUCUUAAUAUAUAUGUAGUCGCACAAACGUUCUCACACACCCGUUUCUUGUCACCUGCCUUUGCUUGGUAAAGACUAAAAGACCAAUUACAUAGUCAAGUUUUCAGUCGUUUCCUUUAUGGCUUCUGAGCCUUGUAUUUUUAUACUUGAGUAACAUCUCAACUCUGAAAUGACAGAAUAAGAUGUCUUCCGUGCUUGCUUGCUUUCUGUUUUACUUUCACUGUUCCAGCUCACAGUUCACACAGCCCAGCCCCCUGCAGAAUCUCCCUUGCUCAGGUUGGCCUGCGGCCCUGCAGUCUCGCGGGGAGGGCCUCUCCGCCGCAGCCUUCCGCUCUCCGCCCGCCCUCGUCUGCCGCCUGGGCCGCUCCGCGAAGCCGCGUCGCGCUGUCCCGAGCGGGGAGCCCCCUCCGAGGCAGAGGCCCCGGGCGAGCUCGGGCGUUAGGGCGUUCGGCGCCGCUGCGGCCUGCCGGCAACUCGUCCUGAGGACACUCGAACCGGUUGUCGGGCGCCCCUGGCGGCCGCUUUCAGAGCGUUCCUUUCCUUCGGCGACCUUCAUAAGGGCUGAGACUCAGCCGGAGAAGACGGCGCAGAGCUCCAGAGGCCGGCAGCACUGGUGGCAAUAACCAUGGUGCUGCGGAGACCUGGGCAUGCCUGCUCCUGCUGAAGACUGGGUCUGCAGGUUUUCGUGAAGCGGCCUGGCGCUGUGGCCUUUGAGGGCGGGUUGUCGCUCGCUCUGGUCGACCAGCAUCUCCUCGCGGCCUUACAUCCGCGGGGCCUCGGAGCGAGCAGAGAAAGGGUCUGCGGCGCCGGAGUGCCUGUGGCUCGUCGGCCAAACUCCUGGGUCACCGUUAGGGGCCUUCGUCUCCCUCCGGGGUCCCCACUCUCCAGGCUCUGGUGCUUGGCCAGACCGGACGAGUAUGGGCUCGCAGGGCUCGUUGGCUGGCGCGCCUGGGCCCCGUCUCCGGGCCUGGACGCGUCCUGCUCCCUCGAACGGUCAGGCUUGCGUGGCGAGCACGGGCCGUGUCUUUAGAAGCUAGUCGGCGAUCCGGACGUUUCCUCCGCCCGCGGGGCUGCAUGGGGUACGGCUCGCAGCCAGGAGAGUAAAGUGCCCCGCGCGGUGUCCUGGAUCAGUAUUUUUUGUUUUCCCGCCUCGGCUGGGAGUAGCCGUGUCUCCGUCGGCGGACGGCGCAGGGUUCACGCCGGCCGUCCCUGGAUCCCGGGCGUCUUCCCCGGAGUGGAGCGUGGCCGGACACGCGGAACAAGGCGGCGCUGGGCUGCGCGCCCGGCCCUCCCAGCGGCACCGCGAUCCCCAGGCUAGGCUCUCCCAACCCCACGUCCUGAUCGCCUGGGGGCCCAGGUCCGCACCAGGGCUGGGCGGCGGGGGAGCUGCUCUCCGACGGCCGCUGUCGUAUCAAGCUCUGCGUUCGUCGGAAGCCGUGCUGCGUCAUCGCGGGGGCCGCCUGUAGUCUCUUCUGUUCCCCUUACGGGCUCGAAAGUUGUGUGAGCCACACACGAGUCCCUCGCCACGGGUGACAACAGGGAACGCGGUGGGCGAGCAAGGAGGUGGCCCAAUGCGCGGCUUUAGUCCUGCACGGGAUCGGUGGUCAGAGGCGCCAAAUGUUUGAGAUCCAGAAAACGGCCCGGGCCCUCCACUGAGGGUACCAAGGAGACGCGAGCCUGGCGCGGUGUGUAGUCCUGGAAGGGCGUCUGAACGCGCGCGGACGGGAGAACACUUAGAGUACAUCGUGAGAAACACUGGGUUGGAUGAAGCACAAGCUGGAAUCAAGAUUGCCAGAAGAAAUAUCAAUAACCUCAGAUAUACAGAUGACACCACCCUUAAGGCAGAAAGGGAAGAACUAAAGAGCCUCUUGAUGAAAGUGAAAAAGGAGAGUGUAAGAUCUACCUUAAAGCUCAACAUUCAGAAAACUAAGAUCAUGGCAUCUGGCCUCAUCACUUCAUGGCAAAUAGAUGGGAAAACAGUGGAAACAGUGGCAGACUUUAUUUUGGGGGGCUUGGAAAUCACUGCAGAUGGUGACUGCAGCCAUGAAAUUAAAAGAGGCUUGCUACAGCUGCUG